rnacentral:rRNA from 1 species
GAGUACGGUCGCAAGAUUAAAACUCAAAGGAAUUGACGGGACCCGCACAAGCGGUGGAUGACGUGGAUUAAUUGAUGCAACGCGAAAAACCUUACCUACCCUUGACAUGUACGGAAUCCUGCUGAGAGGUGGGAGUGCUCGAAAGAGAACCGUAACACAGGUGCUGCAUGGCUGUCGUCAGCUCGUGUCGUGAGAUGUUGGGUUAAGUCCCGCAACGAGCGCAACCCUUGUCCAUAGUUGCUACGCAAGAGCACUCUAAGGAGACUGCCGGUGACAAACCGGAGGAAGGUGGGGAUGACGUCAAGUCCUCAUGGCCCUUAUGGGUAGGGCUUCACACGUCAUACAAUGGUCGGUACAGAGGGCUGCCAAACCGCGAGGUGGAGCUAACCCCAGAAAACCGGUCGUAGUCCGGAUCGCAGUCUGCAACUCGACUGCGUGAAGCUGGAAUCGCUAGUAAUCGCGGAUCAGCAUGUCGCGGUGAAUACGUUCCCGGGUCUUGUACACACCGCCCGUCACACCAUGGGAGUGGGUUUUGCCAGAAGUAGGUAGCCUAACCGCGAGGAGGGCGCUUACCACGGCAGGAUUCAUGACUGGGGUGAAGUCGUAACAAGGUAGCCGUA